rnacentral:rRNA from 1 species
CUAGUAACGGCGAGUGAAGCGGGAAAAGCUCAAUUUUGAAAUCUCACUGGUUUCCAGUGCGAAUUGUAGUUUCAAGGAACGUUUUCGGGGACGGCCUGGGUCCAAGUCCGUUGGAAUACGGCAUCAGAGAGGGUGAGAAUCCCGUUCGAUCCGGUGUCCGUUCCUAUGUGAUACGUUUCCAAAGAGUCGGAUAGUUUGGGAUUGCUGUCCAAAAUGGGUGGUAAAUACCAUCUAAAGCUAAAUAUUGGCGAGAGACCGAUAGCGAACAAGUACCGUGAGGGAAAGAUGAAAAGAACUUUGAAAAGAGAGUUAAAAGUACGUGAAAUUGUCAAAAGGGAAGCGCUUGAAACCAGUGUUGCGGUGCGGAAAUCAGUCGUCCCUCAGGGCGGUGCACUUUUCGUAUCGCGGGUCAGCAUCGGUUUGGUUUGGAGUAAAAAGCCGUAGGAAGGUAGCCCCUCUCGGGGGGUGUUAUAGCCUGCGGUCAUGCUCUGGACUGGACCGAGGACCGCAGCUGUGUUAUUGGGUACCCUGCCGCCUCUGACUGCCCAGUUGUAGACAACUUGUUGACUGCUACUGACGUUGAAGAGCCCGGUGGGCUUGCCACACCUCAGCUUAGGAUGCUGACGAAAUGGUUUUAAACGACCCGUCUUGAAACACGGACCAAGGAGUCCAACACACAUGCGAGUGUUUGGGUGGCAAACCCGAGCGCGUAAUGAAAGUAAAUGUAGGUGGGAUGCUUUACGGCUGCACCAUCGACCGGUCUGGAUUUUUUUGAAAGAUCUGAGUAAGAGCAUGUUUGUUGGGACCCGAAAGAUGGUGAACUAUGCCUGAAUAGGGUGAAGCCAGAGGAAACUCUGGUGGAGGCUCGUAGCGGUUCUGACGUGCAAAUCGAUCGUCAAAUUUGGGUAUAGGGG